rnacentral:rRNA from 1 species
GGGAGGCUUAACACAUGCAAGUCGAGGGGUAUGAGUAGCAAUACUUAGAGACCGGCGCACGGGUGAGUAACGCGUAUGUAACCUGCCCUUUACAGGGGGAUAGCCCGGAGAAAUUCGGAUUAAUACCCCAUAUUUCUGUUUUACCGCAUGGUAUAACAGACAAAGUUUCGGCGGUAAAGGAUGGGCAUGCGUCUGAUUAGCUAGUUGGUGAGGUAACGGCUCACCAAGGCUACGAUCAGUAGGGGUUCUGAGAGGAUGAUCCCCCACACUGGUACUGAGACACGGACCAGACUCCUACGGGAGGCAGCAGUGAGGAAUAUUGGUCAAUGGGCGCAAGCCUGAACCAGCCAUCCCGCGUGAAGGAAGACGGCCCUAUGGGUUGUAAACUUCUUUUAUGUACCAAGAAUAGCUACGACGCGUCGAGGUCUGACGGUAGUACAUGAAUAAGCAUCGGCUAACUCCGUGCCAGCAGCCGCGGUAAUACGGAGGAUGCGAG